rnacentral:rRNA from 1 species
CCUACGGGUGGCUGCAGUGGGGAAUAUUGGACAAUGGGGGAAACCCUGAUCCAGCGACGCCGCGUGAGUGAAGAAGUAUUUCGGUACGUAAAGCUCUAUCAGUAGGGAAGAAAAUGACGGUACCUGCCUAAGAAGCCCCGGCUAACUUCGUUCCAGCAGCCGCGGUAAUACGUAGGGGGCAAGCGUUAUCCGGAUGUACUGGGUGUAAAGGGAGCGUAGGCGGCAGAGCAAGACUGGAGUGAAAUGCCGGGGCCCAACCCCGGAAUUGCACAGGAAACUGGGAAGCUGGAGUGCAGGAGAGGUAAGCGGAAUUCCUGGGGUAGCGGUGAAAUGCGUAGAUAUCAGGAGGAACACCGGCGGCGAAGGCGGCUUACUGGACUGUAACUGACGCUGAGGCUCGAAGGCGUGGGGAGCAAACAGGAUUAGAUACCCUGGUAGUC